UACAGAGGUCUCAAGCGUUGUUCGGAUUCAUUGGGCGUAAAGGGUGCGUAGGCGGCGCGGUAAGUCGGGUGUGAAAUCUCGGAGCUUAACUCCGAAACUGCAUUCGAUACUGCCGUGCUUGAGGACUGGAGAGGAGACUGGAAUUCCGAGUGUAGAGGUGAAAUUCGUAGAUAUUCGGAAGAACACCAGUGGCGAAGGCGACUUACUGGACACAUAUUGACGCUGAGGUGCGAAAGCGUGGGGAGCAAACAGG
rnacentral:rRNA from 1 species